rnacentral:rRNA from 1 species
UACGAGGGGGGGCAAGCGUUGUUCGGAUUUACUGGGCGUAAAGGGCGCGUAGGCGGCGUGACAAGUCACUUGUGAAAUCUCCGGGCUUAACUCGGAACGGUCAAGUGAUACUGUCGUGCUAGAGUACAGAAGGGGCAACUGGAAUUCUCGGUGUAGCGGUGAAAUGCGUAGAUAUCGAGAGGAACACCUGCGGCGAAGGCGGGUUGCUGGGCUGAUACUGACGCUGAGGCGCGAAAGCCAGGGGAGCGAACGGG